AGUGAACGCUGGCGGUAGGCCUAACACAUGCAAGUCGAACGGCAGCACAGUAAGAGCUUGCUCUUACGGGUGGCGAGUGGCGGACGGGUGAGGAAUACAUCGGAAUCUACUUUUUCGUGGGGGAUAACGUAGGGAAACUUACGCUAAUACCGCAUACGACCUACGGGUGAAAGCAGGGGAUCUUCGGACCUUGCACGAUUGAAUGAGCCGAUGUCGGAUUAGCUAGUUGGCGGGGUAAAGGCCCACCAAGGCGACGAUCCGUAGCUGGUCUGAGAGGAUGAUCAGCCACACUGGAACUGAGGCACGGUCCAGACUCCUACGGGAGGCAGCAGUGGGGAAUAUUGGACAAUGGGCGCAAGCCUGAUCCAGCCAUACCGCGUGGGUGAAGAAGGCCUUCGGGUUGUAAAGCCCUUUUGUUGGGAAAGAAAAGCAGCAGGUUAAUACCCCGCUGUUCUGACGGUACCCAAAGAAUAAGCACCGGCUAACUUCGUG
rnacentral:rRNA from 1 species